UACAGAGGGUGCGAGCGUUAAUCGGAAUUACUGGGCGUAAAGGGUGUGUAGGUGGUUGGAUAAGUUAGAUGUGAAAUCCCCGGGCUUAACCUGGGAACUGCGUUUAAAACUGUUUAACUAGAGUACUGUAGAGGAUAGUGGAAUUUCCAGUGUAGCGGUGAAAUGCGUAGAUAUUGGAAGGAACACCAGUGGCGAAGGCGACUAUCUGGACAGUGACUGACGCUGAGACGCGAAAGCGUGGGGAGCAAACAGG
rnacentral:rRNA from 1 species